GUAAAGCGUGCGCAGGCGGUUUGUAAGACUGUCGUGAAAUCCCCGGGCUCAACCUGGGAAUGGCGAUGGUGACUGCAAGGCUAGAGUUUGGCAGAGGGGGUAGAAUUCCACGUGUAGCAGUGAAAUGCGUAGAUAUGUGGAGGAACACCGAUGGCGAAGGCAGCCCCCUGGGUCAAAACUGACGCUCAUGCACGAAAGCGUGGGGAGCAAACAGGAUUAGAUACCCGAGU
rnacentral:rRNA from 1 species